UUCAUUGUUUUUAAGAGCAGUUAAGAGUUUUAGCUUUUUAAACUUACAUAGUUAUUAAAGGAAUAAAGCCAACCACAAGAUAAGAAUUAAUUCAAAAAAUACAUACACCCCACUAUUAACAGCAACAUUCUCUAUAAUUGCCAAGAUAGGGAAGCAUCCUUAGUGCACAUUGAUAGAUGAAUGGAUAAAGAAGAUGCAGCAUCUAUAUA